AAUAGAUACCCUGGUAGUCCACGCCGUAAACGAUGAGUGCUAAGUGUUAGAGGGUUUCCGCCCUUUAGUGCUGCAGCUAACGCAUUAAGCACUCCGCCUGGGAGUACGGCCGCAAGGCUGAAACUCAAAGGAAUUGACGGGGGCCCGCACAAGCGGUGGAGCAUGUGGUUUAAUUCGAAGCAACGCGAAGAACCUUACCAGGUCUUGACAUCCUCUGCCAACCCUAGAGAUAGGGCGUUCCCCUUCGGGGGACAGAGUGACAGGUGGUGCAUGGUUGUCGUCAGCUCGUGUCGUGAGAUGUUGGGUUAAGUCCCGCAACGAGCGCAACCCUUGAUCUUAGUUGCCAGCAUUUAGUUGGGCACUCUAAGGUGACUGCCGGUGACAAACCGGAGGAAGGUGGGGAUGACGUCAAAUCAUCAUGCCCCUUAUGACCUGGGCUACACACGUGCUACAAUGGAUGGUACAAAGAGCUGCGAACCCGCGAGGGUAAGCGAAUCUCAUAAAGCCAUUCUCAGUUCGGA
rnacentral:rRNA from 1 species